rnacentral:lncRNA from 1 species
UGGCGUCACACCUGUUUCAUUAUUAUUUGAUAAUAAUGUAAAUCAAGGCAACAAUCCAUUUAGUUCGCUUUACUUACUCAAUAAAAUUACAUAUAAUUUCUUAUUAACAUAACUAUAACCUAAUCUAGGUUUCAAAUAAUUUACUUACAAGUAGAAUGAAAACUUUCUGUUUGCAGCUUUUGCUUUUUCUAAUUGUUUAGAAUUUUUAUUAUUUAUACGAUUAUUGCAGCCAAAUACACAAAACUCAUGUCACUGAUAGAAAUCCAAAAGGUCAUAAUCACUUUAGAUAUCAAUACAAUAAUCACAAGCACAAUAUGUGAGCAGGAGCCCGUCAACUGAACCAUUAGCCGAACGUUAGCCGAACGUAACCGAAUUCGACCGAAGUUCAUGCAGUUCCCCCAGUUCCCCCUUACCGCGAAUAUCAGGCUCCCCCUCACCUUCUUCGAUAGCUAAGGCUCCGUCUAUUGUAUUCUAAUGUCAAUGGUGGGAACGUCUAGAUUGACUUUGGGGAUUGUGACCUUAUUAAGAUACAACGCAUUCAGUACGCCGCGAUUCGCACGAUUCUUGGCCUCAUGAGAACGACCCCCACAAAUGUUCUUCUGGAUAUUUCCGGCGAACUACCUAUGGAGGACAGCUGGCAUUUAUUACAGAGAAAAUUUGUUUGCAAAACGGUGGCACGCUCAAAUCACCCUCUAAACUGCCUCUUACAGCGCGGUGCCGAUGCGGACGAUCCGCUGCGUAUCAACAUAUAUGGACUUUUUUCAGUUUUUUCGAAAAUGAGGCAUUUGCUUCCUCGGAUUGAGCGGUUCGAUUUGCCUGGCUUUCUGGGUUUUCCUUUGGAGAUCAGAUACUUCAUGUGUGACGCGGAUGUUUCGGCUGGGUGGGACUUGCGCUCGGGUUUUGAUUUCGUCUUUUCUUCUAGGCCAAUACAUUCGGAACGGCGACUUCCAACGCGUCCUUUUUACUGACGGGUCUCGGUAGCUCGUCGGGGAUACUUACAGGGUAGGCUAUGGUAUCUUCGGAGAUCAACCCCGCAUAUCGAUAUGCCGAAGAUUGCAUGACCACCAAUCCAUCUUUGACGCGGAAACCACCGCUAUCCUUCGGGCCGCAGACCUUCUUCUGACCGGCCCCCCGUGUUCUAGAUUGCUGAUUGCGUCGGACUCAUUGAGCGUCAUAUCUGCUCUACGGAUGCCUGAUGGUUGUGAUUCGGGCAUCAAAUAUCGAUAGACAAAUAUCGGCACGACGAGACGCGUAGCGAUGUAUUCGACCCUUUUCUCACGCGACCGUUGUAGCGAGCGAACAAAUAAGUGGAUCCACUGGCGGAUAGUUACUGGCGGAUAGUUUACCGAUAUAGAAUUAAGGCGGAUUUGUGCACAGAUCUGAAAAACGAAAAAGGCGACUGAUAUCCGGAAGUCACGGAAUCAAUCGGAUGAGUAGAAAUUUUUCUUUAAUUUGAUUUAUGAGAUUCUUUGCUUGAACAAAGCAUUGGCUAUUUUUGUAUUUUCUUUUCUUGUGACUUUGAGGUUCACACGUAUAUUUUCUUGCUUAUUUGUAUGUGAUUGAUAUAUAAUUAUUUGAAACUGUUUGAAUGUAUUGUUACAUAUUUUUCGUAAUUAUAUAUAUAUACAUUUUCUUUUGUUUAUUGAAAUACUGAACACAUUUAUUUAUACCUUAUCUCGCACAUUUGCAAAGGGAAAUAAUCAAAUUUCAACAAUAUAUACAAUUAAGAAUGCUUUUAGGUCGUUGCUUUUGGAGAGGGGGAUGCCCGUCCGCCUGCUGUGGGUUCCGGGCCACUCUGGAAUCGUUGGAAACGAGCGUGCGGACGGACUCGCCAAGGCCGCUCUUUCUUUGACAGAUGCAUCCGUGCAGUCUUGUCACUAUAAAUCCUUUUUUUCUUCGUUUCAUGAAUCGAUAGGGCGCCGGGCUUGUCGCCACAUUAUUCAGGAUUGUACAAAUAAGGGGAAGCGUUAUUUUGACAGAAAGGUUGAUCCGGUUCUUGCGAAGCCUUGGUUCCGAUGCCUGGAAAGUUUUUGGGUAAAUCUGAAGGAGAGUCUCUUCCUCACCGAUUUCGUUCUAACUUUGCAAUAUCGUUUAUUUUGAUGAGAAAAUGCGAUUGCGAGAAGGAAAAUCGUCGCUCUCAAGUAGAAAAAA